CACGUAGGGCGCAAGCGUUGUCCGGAAUUAUUGGGCGUAAAGAGCUCGUAGGCGGUCUGUUGCGUCUGCUGUGAAAACUCGGGGCUUAACCCCGAGCCUGCAGUGGAUACGGGCAGACUAGAGGUAGGUAGGGGAGAAUGGGAUUCCCGGUGUAGCGGUGAAAUGCGCAGAUAUCGGGAGGAACACCGGUGGCGAAGGCGGUUCUCUGGGCCUUACCUGACGCUGAGGAGCGAAAGCGUGGGGAGCGAACAGG
rnacentral:rRNA from 1 species